rnacentral:sRNA from 1 species
CGACUGCAGCAUGUCCGUCAGAGCGUGGUCGAUGACAGCCACACUGCUGAAGAGCGCUGGCUCUGUGGUGCCAUUGCUGCUGACCACCGAAGUGGACUUUGUCAGCUCAUCGAUGAACUUGUGCACGCUCGCUGCCGCCGCCGCUGUUGCCUGCUGCUGCUGUUGUUGCUGUUGCUGUUGUGGCUGCUGCUGUUGUUGCUGCUGCUGCUGCUGCUGCUGUUGCUGCUGCUGUUGCUGUUGCUGCUGCUGCUGCUGUUGAUGCUGCUGCACCACGUGCUUAACAAUUUCAUUCUUUA